rnacentral:rRNA from 1 species
UAUCUAAGGUUUCCAGAGUAAAGCUGAUCUGCUCUGGGUAAGUCGGGGCCUAAGGCGAGGUCGAAAGACGUAGUCGAUGGAUAACAGGUUGAAAUUCCUGUACUAUCCUGUAACAGAACUGUGGGGACACAGGCAGAGAGCGUGAGCCGGGAAUGGAAAGACCGGUACAAGCGAGGUAGGAGAAGAGUUGGCAAAUCCGCUCUUCAAUCUGAAGACGUGAUGUGGACUGAAAAUAAGUAGGGAAGCACGUGAGCUGACUGUCAAGAAAAGCCGCUAUUGUUUGCAGGAUACCCGUACCGUAAACCGACACAGGUGGAUGAGGAGAGAAUCCUAAGGCCGACGGGAGAAGCAUUGUUAAGGAACUCGGCAAAAUGACUCCGUAACUUCGGGAGAAGGAGUGCCAGUAAGAUGGCCGCAGAGAAUUGGCCCAAGCAACUGUUUAGCAAAAACACAGGUCUAUGCAAAACCGAAAGGUGAGGUAUAUGGGCUGACGCCUGCCCGGUGCUGGAAGGUUAAGGGGAGAGGUUAGCGCAAGCGAAGCUUUGAACUUAAGCCCCAGUAAACGGCGGCCGUAACUAUAACGGUCCUAAGGUAGCGAAAUUCCUUGUCGGGUAAGUUCCGACCCGCACGAAAGGCGUAAUGAUUUGGGCACUGUCUCAACAAUGCACCCGGUGAAAUUGAAAUACCAGUGAAGAUGCUGGUUACCUGCGCCAGGACGGAAAGACCCCAUGGAGCUUUACUCCAGCUUGAUACUGGGAUUCGGUAUUGCAUGUACAGGAUAGGUGGGAGGCUAGGAAAUGGUAACGCCAGUUGCCAUGGAGCCAAUGUUGGGAUACCACCCUUGCAGUACUGGGUUUCUAACCAGCAGCCGUGAUCCGGCUGGGGGACAAUGUCAGGUGGGGAGUUUGACUGGGGCGGUCGCCUCCGAAAGGGUAUCGGAGGCGCUCAAAGGUUCCCUCAGAAUGGUUGGAAACCAUUCGAAGAGUGCAAAGGCAGAAGGGAGCUUGACUGCGACACCGACGG